AACAGUUUAGGUGCAGAACCCUAUUUAUAGGGUACACGUUCUCCUGUGCUGCCUCGGUCCUCCAGCCUGUAGCGGUACAUUAUUGAUGCAGCUGCAAGUGCUCAAAGCUUAAACAAUAUUUUUUCCAAAAGCCCCAGCAGCCCGCCCGGGAGGAAGGUGGGGACAGGCUGGCGAUGGAGUCCUGAAUGUUACUCCUCCAGUUUCAAGGACAUCUUGCUGAUGAGGAUUUGGUUAAUGGAGGAGAACUUAUGUCCUAGCGGUGACGUCAUUGGGUCCCAAUGUAAUCCUCUUGUGCUGAACCCAAUCAGCAGAUGUGCUGAGAGCCGGGAUGCGGAGAAGAAGCUCUAAUCCCUUAGACUGGAUGAGAUCAGCUGAAACAGCCAGGACUAGACCCCAAACCCCUCUGCUAGGAAGAUCAAGAGAAAAGGGAUAAAUUGAGAGAGACGCCUCAUAACCCCUUUAAAGAGCUUUGGAGAAGAGAAGAGAAAGAUGGGUGGUGCACCAAGUUCAUCUUGCUUUUAAAGCCUAGCGGGAGCCUGGUUUUCACUCUGAUGAGGUCCUUCUGCAUUGUUCCAGGGCAGGAGGAGAAAAGAGAAAAAAAAAAAAAAAAGAGAGAAAGAAAAGGAAAAAAAAAAGAGAGAGGAAAAAAAAGUCUGAAAUUCAAAGAUAAUGAGAGACUAGGCGCCUUUCUUAUUCAUCUCCAGCUUGCCUACACAAAAACAAGCGUCCUGAGCCACGGGAGGGCGUUUGCACUGGAUCUGAGCGAGGAGCGGAGUUUGUGCCGCCGGAGCCGCCGGGCGCCGCGUCCACGAGUGGCCCCGCUCGCCGCCUGCCCUGCUCCGAGCGGGGACAGCCCGAGCCCCUCUCUGCGUGUUCACAGCGGACCUUGAUUUAAUGUCCAUACAAUUAAGGCACGCGGUGAAUGCCAAGAGAGGAGCCUCACAGCUUCAUUUUCAUGGAAAUUGGGGACAUAAACCCUCUAAUUACACUUAACAACAGCCACGGAGCGAUCUAUGGAGCAUCCUCGGCCUUUUGACAAAUAGGAGUAACAAUGCGCCAGCGCCCGGCGGGGCAGCUGUCUCCUCGCAUUAACGGGGGCACGGGGGGAGGCGGGGGGAGGCCCCGCUCCGGCCCCGCCGGGGCUUGCGGGGGCUCCCGGCGUACAAAGGGCAAGAGGAGAGGCAGGACAAUGCGGGCAGAGCUGGGGGGGGCCGCGAGCAGGGAGCGCUCCGAGGAGCGGGGCGUGGGCGGGAGGGGGUGACAAGUGGCCCCUCGCUGCAGAGCGAGGGACCCCCCUCCCACGCAAAGGGACACCCCCGCCCUCCCGGCCUCCACAAUGUCUUUCAGAGCUCUCUGGAAAAAAUACCUCUUUGGAGGUUUUUUGGGAGGCGGGUGCUUUUUGCUUUAUUUUUUUCACUUGCUAUUUUUUGGUUUUAUUUUUGCCGUUGCCCCUGCAAUGCUCCUCCCUCGUGUGGGAGCUCGGCCAUGCAGCCCCUGCUGCUCUGCAGAGCCACGACACAGGUCCAGGGUCCUGUCCUACCCAUCUGACUGCCCUCGUAGACCCUUUGCAACUUAACUGUUCACAGAACUAAAUUAUGAGCCUGCUUUUUUUUUUUUUGCAAAAGCAGGGCCGGCAAGGUGAGGGGGCUGCAGCACUGCAGCCUCCCCAGUGCCACCUCCAGCCCAUCACUGCAGCCUGCAAGAUGGCACACAUCCCUUUUUGCAGUCUCCAGAGAGACUGCAGUAGCCCACAUCGGUCCUUAGGCUAGGCUUUAGACCUCAAUAAAUCUCUGUUGUAAGA